rnacentral:rRNA from 1 species
AGUGAACGCUGGCGGUAGGCCUAACACAUGCAAGUCGAACGACCGCACAGUAAGAGUUUGCUCUUACGGGUGGCGAGUGGCGGACGGGUGAGGAAUACAUCACAAUCUACUUUUUCGUGGGGGAUUACGUAGAGCAACUUACGCUAAUACCGCAUACGACCUACGGCUGAAAGCAGGGGAUCUUCGGACCUUGCGCGAUUGAAUGAGCCGAUGCCGGAUUAGCUAGUUGGCGGGGUAAAGGACCACCAAGGCGACGAUCCGUAGCUGGUCUGAGAGGAUGAUCGGCCACACUGGAACUGAGACACGGUCCAGACUCCUACGGGAGGCAGCAGUGGGGAAUAUUGGGCAAUGGGCGCAAGCCUGACCCAGCAAUACCGCGUGGGUGAAGAAGGCCUUCGGGUUGUAAAACCCUUUUAUUGGGAAAGAAAGGCAGUAGGUGUAUAUCCCGCUGUUCUGACGGUACCCAAACAAAAAGCACCGGCUAACUUCGUG